GGCCGGUGCCAGCGUUAAUCGGAAUUACUGGGCGUAAAGCGUACGCAGGCGGUUUGUUAAGCGAGAUGUGAAAGCCCCGGGCUCAACCUGGGAACUGCAUUUCGAACUGUUAAACUAGAGUGUGAUAGAGGGUGGUAGAAUUUCAGGUGUAGCGGUGAAAUGCGUAGAGAUCUGAAGGAAUACCGAUGGCGAAGGCAGCCACCUGGGUCAACACUGACGCUCAUGUACGAAAGCGUGGGGAGCAAACAGGAUUAGAUACCCUGGUAGUCCACGCCGUAAACGAUGUCUACUAGAAGCUCGGGUCUUCGGACUUGUUUUUCAAAGCUAACGCAUUAAGUAGACCGCCUGGGGAGUACGGCCGCAAGGUUAAAACUCAAAUGAAUUGACGGGGGCCCGCACAAGCGGUGGAGCAUGUGGUUUAAUUCGAUGCAACGCGAAGAACCUUACCUACACUUGACAUACAGAGAACUUACCAGAGAUGGUUUGGU
rnacentral:rRNA from 1 species